AACGGGAAAUAUUUUAUUGAAACUUCGGUGGAUUUAAUUUAUUUCUAGUGGCGGACGGGUGAGUAACGCGUGGGUAACCUGCCUUAUACUGGGGGAUAACAGCCGGAAAUGGCUGCUAAUACCGCAUAAGCGCACAGGACCGCAUGGUCUGGUGUGAAAAACUCCGGUGGUAUAAGAUGGACCCGCGUUGGAUUAGCUAGUUGGCAGGGCAGCGGCCUACCAAGGCGACGAUCCAUAGCCGGCCUGAGAGGGUGAACGGCCACAUUGGGACUGAGACACGGCCCAGACUCCUACGGGAGGCAGCAGUGGGGAAUAUUGCACAAUGGGGGAAACCCUGAUGCAGCGACGCCGCGUGAAGGAAGAAGUAUCUCGGUAUGUAAACUUCUAUCAGCAGGGAAGAUAAUGACGGUACCUGACUAAGAAGCCCCGGCUAACUACGUGCCAGCAGCCGCGGUAAUACGUAGGGGGCAAGCGUUAUCCGGAUUUACUGGGUGUAAAGGGAGCGUAGACGGCGCAGCAAGUCUGAUGUGAAAGGCAGGGGCUUAACCCCUGGACUGCAUUGGAAACUGUUGAGCUUGAGUGCCGGAGGGGUAAGCGGAAUUCCUAGUGUAGCGGUGAAAUGCGUAGAUAUUAGGAGGAACACCAGUGGCG
rnacentral:rRNA from 1 species